GACGAACGCUGGCGGCGUGCCUAAUACAUGCAAGUCGAGCGGACAGAUAAGGAGCUUGCUCCUUUGGAGUCAGCGGCGGACGGGUGAGUAACACGUGGGCAACCUGCCUAUAAGACUGGGAUAACUCCGGGAAACCGGGGCUAAUACUGGAUAGAUUCUUUCCUCUCAUGAGGAAAGAAGGAAAGAUGGUUUCGGCUAUCACUUAUAGAUGGGCCCGCGGCGCAUUAGCUAGUUGGUAAGGUAACGGCUUACCAAGGCGACGAUGCGUAGCCGACCUGGGAGGGUGAUCGGCCACACUAGGACUGAGACACGGCCCAGACUCCUACGGGAGGCAGCAGUAGGGAAUCUUCCGCAAUGGACGAAAGUCUGACGGAGCAACGCCGCGUGAACGAAAAAGGCCUUCGGGUCGUAAAGUUCUGUUGUUAGGGAAGAACACGUACGAUAGUAACUGAUCGUACCUUGACGGUACCUAACCAGAAAGCCACGGCUAACUACGUGCCAGCCGCCGCCGUAAAAC
rnacentral:rRNA from 1 species